AACGAACGCUGGCGGCAGGCUUAACACAUGCAAGUCGAGCGCCCCGCAAGGGGAGCGGCAGACGGGUGAGUAACGCGUGGGAACGUACCCUUUGCUACGGAAUAGCUCCGGGAAACUGGAAUUAAUACCGUAUGUGCCCUACGGGGGAAAGAUUUAUCGGCAAAGGAUCGGCCCGCGUUGGAUUAGCUAGUUGGUGGGGUAAUGGCCUACCAAGGCGACGAUCCAUAGCUGGUCUGAGAGGAUGAUCAGCCACAUUGGGACUGAGACACGGCCCAAACUCCUACGGGAGGCAGCAGUGGGGAAUAUUGGACAAUGGGCGCAAGCCUGAUCCAGCCAUGCCGCGUGAGUGAUGAAGGCCUUAGGGUUGUAAAGCUCUUUCACCGAUGAAGAUAAUGACGGUAGUCGGAGAAGAAGCCCCGGCUAACUUCGUGCCAGCCACCGCUGUAACAC
rnacentral:rRNA from 1 species